rnacentral:ncRNA from 1 species
UUAAAGUUUGAUCCUUGCUUAUUCCUCUGUUUUAAAGAUAUUUUACAUGUAAGUAAGUGCGAGAUGAAUUGUAAGCGGCAGGUCCCUUCAGUUAGGUUUCAGUAUUUGUAUUUGGUUUGUGGAGUGGUUCUCUGAUUCAGUAAUCUUAGAUAUUUCAGGUUAAAUUUGUGCCAGCAGCCGCGGUUAGACUGGGAGAAAGAUGGAGGGCUCGAAGUUAGUAGUUACGAGAUGGAAUUUGCAGAGUUUUUCUUUUAAUGAGUUAAGAGGUGAAAUUUAUAGUUCAAUGGGAAUGUUGAGGUUUGCAAAUUUUCUUGGAGGCUUUUAAAGUUUAGAUUUAAACCAGGAUUAGAUACCCUGUUAUACUGGACUUAAAAAUAUUAGUUGCUUGAUUAGUAUCAGUUAUGUUCUUGAAAUUUAAAGGAUUUGGCGGUAUCCAAGUCUAGUUAGAGGAACCUGCCAUUUAAACGAUAUGCCACGAAUUAUCUUACUUUAUCUUGUUUUCAGUAUGUAUACCUCCAUUGUUAGGUGGUGUAUUAAUAUAACCAUUGAAAUUAAUUGUUUUAAGUAUAUUAGGUCAAGGUGCAGCCAAUGGUAAAGAUGUCGGUGGGUUACAGUGUGUUUUAUUUACAGACGGAUCGUUCUUUGAAAAAUGGAACUUAAAGGUGGAUUUAAUUGUAUUUCUAUUUUAAUAUGGUAGGUUGAUAUUAGCUCUAGGAUAUGUACACAUCGCCCGUCGCUCUCAUUCUUUAAAGUGAGAUAAGUCGUAACAUAGUAGUUGUAUUGGAAAAUGCAUCUAGUAAUAU